rnacentral:lncRNA from 1 species
UCCAAACUGUCAUCAAGUAUUCUAAUCCAGUCAAAGGAGAUACAACUAGAACAACCUAUGUAACUUGCUGAAGGCUUAUCAAAAGAGUUGUAAAUAAGGAAAAAAAAAAAAACCUAUCAACUGCAUAACCACAGAUUUCUGCCAGCUUGCCUGUGGCUUUGAAAUUCAAUCCCAUUUCUCUAGUCUGACAAACUGUACUAAAUGGUGAAAUGGAUUUUUAUUGCUUUCAGCCAUUUUCAUUCCAGCUGCUAUCACUAGCAUUUGGAUCCACGUAGUGCUGCUAAUUGAGCACCAGACCCCCUAAAACUGAGGUGACUGUGAAUCCUGAUUGCAUGGAAGCACCAGCUGAGGAGUCCAGCACAGCUGCGACAGGUCUUCCUUGCUCCCUGCACUCCUUUCCCAUCACAGGUGUACGUUAUCGGAGCAGAGUCUGGUAGGAUACCUCUGUCACUAAUGCUAUUUGUGCUGACUAACGUGUACUUCCAGGUGAUGUGAGACACAUGGAGCUAAUUUCCUUUUUCUCCCCGCCCUGCACCCCAGCUGAUCAGAAAAAUCGUGAUUUCCCAGCAUGCUGAAAUUUCCUGUAGAAGGUGGGGAAUGCUCUUCCUGGUAGAGCCUCAUCAGCAGACUGCAAGCCAGGUGCUAGAGCGUUUGUGCCUCUUGAAGAUCUGGCCAGUGCACAGGUGUCUGCUGUACAGGUUACUGCAGUACUGGAGUGGCUCCUGAGGUCUGGUGGAUGAGUUCUCUGCUCUCCUGGCUCUUCAGCGUGGGAGCAGAAGCACGGAGGGAGAGCACAGGUGACCCAAAUAACAGAAGUAGUGGCUUUGNNNNNNNNNNNNNNNAAAAGAUGGGUUCCCCAAGAAGACUUGGUUGUGGAGAAACAGCUUCCACUUUAAGGCAUGCAGUAGUCUUCAGUGGAGAUGCACCUUGCUGGAGUUUUUCUAGACAAGCUCAAUAGCAGAACUCUUGCAAGUGGACCCAUCUCUAUCUUGUGUCAGCUGACGCAAAACCAGGAACGUCUAUACAAAAGGCAAGUCAGUUAUGCUACGUAAAAAGGUAAAAGGUGGUA